CCAGACUCGAGUCUCCCAACCAGAGUCCUCCGGUUAAGAAACCAUAUAAUAGCAUUCUGGGUACAAAAUACGCACACAAUUGGACCAGAAAGCCAUAAUCCCCCCCAGUCACAUUCUCUUAAAGAUCUCCUUGCCUUCCCUCCCCCUGCUCUGAAACAGGGAGAGGCUUAGAAUCCAGGGGCGUCGGGUAAGACUCCUCUCUCAAACCCGCUCAGGGCCCUGCCCUCCCUCCACUUCCCCUCCGGGGUGGCUACCUCAGGCUCGCUCCCAAACCGGCUGUCUGGCUUGAGGGGACACCUGCGCUUGGCCUCAAGGGAGAGAUGUGGGGAGAGAUCCAGUGCCUACCACCCUUGGCAGAAGACCAGUAGAAGCUAGGCGGGGAGGGCAACAGCGGCGGGGGGCAGGGAACAGCAGCGGCGGGGUACGACGGCCGUUAGCGUUAGGACCGUUAGCGCUCCGCCUUCUCCUGGCAACCCCCGCACGGGCUCCGCUGCCAGGUCUCCGGGGGCGCGCCGGGUGUGACGUCACAGAGCCGCCCCGCCCCCUCAGCAGAGGCGCGUUCCCAGGGUCGUCACGGAGCCGCCCCGCCCCCUCAGCAGAGGCGCGUUCCCAGGGUCGUCACGGAGCCGCCCCGCCCCCUCAGCAGAGGCGCAUUCUCAGGGUCGCGCUAGGGCGCUGCUGGGGAAGCGGAAAGCUGCUCUGGGCUUUGCUGGUGGUGGAAGGACCAGAUGGCCUGGAGGAUGAGGGAACUGAGCGCAGAGAGGUUAAACUUGUCCAAGAUGACAGUCAGCAAGUGAUAGAGUCAGGAUUUGAACCUGGGUUGCGUGAUCCCAGAUUCCUCACUCUUGAUGCAGAGGAAGAAAAACCAUCCAUCCAGUUUUGGUGGAGGCAAGAAAUUCAGGAACCAUCAUCCCAAGAAAACAUGGGAGCAGGAAAGGAGAAGGAGGCCGGGAGACUUCAGGAAAUGAUGGUCAAAUCAUGUCCCCAAGCAGGGGACGUAGUCUUUUCUGUCUUCCUCAUAAAGUUCCUAAGGAUGAUCCAUAUAUGCACAGGGAGCAAUGACAAAGGAAAGGAGCUCUUCAUUGAGCUUGUGUCUGAAAGAUAAGUGCCCUCUUUGAGUCUUUAAGGAAAUACGGCUUCUCCAAUACUUUCUCAAACAGCUGUUGAGAAUCAUUCAUUGCAGCAAGAAAUAUUACUGAUGUGGAUCCAGAAAACAGUCUGAUAGCCACUGCAGGAGGGGUAUGAGGAGGAGGAGGUGGUUGUGUGUGUCCUCAGCUCAGUUAUCUGCUUAGCCUGGACUGUGAACUCAAGCUCAUGUGCACCACAACCUUGCACCUCAAAAAUACCUGGGACAGUUGCUCAGUGAGUGAUGGUACUUUUAACUUCCUUCCAAUUUGGAUUUUCUCAUCUGGAAAUAUGGAGCAAGUAUGACAAACACUGAAUGCACAUCCUUCAGGCUGCCUUAUCAUUGCCAGACAUCUCCCAUCUGCCAACAUUUGCAUCUCGGUGCUUGAGGACUGGAACCCUGGAGGGUCACGAGGUCUUAAGAUACAUGGCAGUAAAGAAGCGCUGGAAAAUUAACUGCCCUGUCCCCCAGGAAUAUCCCUAAACCAAUGAAUGGUGGGGUAUGAUGUAUAAAUAUCCCAACAACCUCAUCCCUUGGGUGGAAUAAUUCUGAGGUGUGUGUCUUAGACUGUUUCCCAGAGUUUCUCUGCAGGAUUAAGCUAUAGUUGUCCUCUGUAGUUGGCUUAAUAAUUCACAUUUUAUUGGCUGUCUUCCUUUCCGUGACUCACUUCCUCACUCUCUUGCUGGCAUUUCCUUGGGUUAUCUCCCAAACAAACCACUUGUUCUCAAAUCCUUGUUUCAAAGUCAGCUUCUGGAAGACCCCAAACUAAGGCUCAGUAUAAGUUAGCAUCAUUAAACGCACAUUGCUGGAGAGCUGCUAAGGGAGAGAGAUACUUUCUUCUCUUCUUACUUCUCCCUCCUCACAUCCAAGGCAGUGGGGCUUGUGCUGAGAUCUGUGAGCUGUACUGGACGUGCUCUCCCCCAUGUAAUUUCUGCCCUGUGAAGACAGACCUUAGGGAGGCUUUUCCUCUUUGUUAUACUUCAGGCACCAU
rnacentral:lncRNA from 13 species